rnacentral:snoRNA from 1 species
AAGGCAUUUUACUAAAGGUUUGCUAUUCUGUGAAACCAAGAGUUCUAAAUCUAUGCCCAAAGUUUGAAGAUCUUUACAAAAGGGCUAGUCACUUAGCAGAGCUAUGCUUUCUCUGAGGAUAUUUAA